UGAAUACGAGAUGCUACGGCGUCGAAGCAGUCUAUGUCAUACUUCCAAGAAAAGCUUGCACUGUCAUAAACAAAUAAUGCCUGUACCAUAACCGACACAGGUGGGUAGGUAGAGUAUACUAAGGGGCGCGAGAUAACUCUCUCUAAGGAACUCGGCAAAAUGACUCCGUAACUUCGGGAGAAGGAGUGCCUUAUUUAUAAGGUUGCAAUAACAAGAUCCAAGCAACUGUUUACCAAAAACACAGGUCUCCGCUAAGUCGUAAGACGAUGUAUGGGGGCUGACGCCUGCCCAGUGCCAGAAGGUUAAAGAAGUUGGUUAGCAUCCGCGAAGCUGAUAACUGAAGCCCUGGUGAACGGCGGCCGUAACAAUAACGGUCCUAAGGUAGCGAAAUUCCUUGUCGGGUAAGUUCCGACCCGCACGAAAGGCGUAAUGAUUUGGAUACUGUCUCGGAGAGGGGCUCGGUGAAAUAGACUUGUCUGUGAAGAUGCGGACUACCUGCACCAGGACAGAAAGACCCUAUGAAGCUUUACUGUAACCUGAAAUUGAAAUUGGACUUUACUUGCGCAGUAUAGGUGGGAGGCGUUGAGAAUAUUCUUGCGGGAUUAUUGGAGCCAUCAGUGAGAUACCACUCUUGUAAUGUUAGAUUUCUAACUUUGUAUCAUUAUCUGGUCAAAGAACAGUUUCAGGCGGGCAGUUUGACUGGGGCGGUCGCCUCCUAAACGGUAACGGAGGCGCACAAAGGUUUCCUCUGAACGGGUAGAAAUCGUAUCUAGAGUGUAAAGGCAUAAGGAAGCUUGACUGUGAGACCUACAAGUCGAGCAGGGACGAAAGUCGGUCUUAGUGAUCUGACGGUGCUGAGUGGAAAGGCCGUCACUCAACGGAUAAAAGUUACUCUAAGGAUAACAGGCUGAUCUCCCCCAAGAGUUCACAUCGACGGGGAGGUUUGGCACCUCGAUGUCGGCUCAUCGCAUCCUGGGGCGGUAGUACGUCCCAAGGGUUGGGCUGUUCGCCCAUGAAAGCGGUACGCGAGCUGGGUUCAGAACGUCGUGAGACAGUUCGGUCCAUAUCCGGUGUAGGCGUUAGAAUAUUGAGAGGAGCCUUCUUUAGUACGAGAGGACCGAGAAGGACAUACCUCUGGUGUACCAGUUAUCGUGCCAACGGUAAACGCUGGGUAGCUAUGUGUGGAGUGGAUAACCGCUGAAAGCAUCUAAGUGGGAAGCCCACCUCAAGAUAAGUA
rnacentral:rRNA from 1 species